rnacentral:rRNA from 1 species
GUUGUAUAGUCAAGUAAUUAAGUGCAUGUGGUGGAUGCCUUGGCAGUCAGAGGCGAUGAAAGACGUGAUAGCCUGCGAAAAGCUCCGGGGAGGCGGCAAAUAUCCUUUGAUCCGGAGAUGUCUGAAUGGGGAACCCACCUACUUUAAGGUAGGUAUUGCAACAUGAAUACAUAGUGUUGCAAGGCGAACGAGGGGAAGUGAAACAUCUCAGUACCCUUAGGAAAAGAAAUCAAUUGAGAUUCCCUCAGUAGCGGCGAGCGAACGGGGAUCAGCCCAUUAAGUUAUGUGUGUUUUAGUGGAACGCUCUGGGAAGUGCGAACGUAGAGGGUGAUAUUCCCGUACACGAAAGGGCACACAUAAUGAUGACGAGUAGGGCGAGGCACGUGAAACCUUGUCUGAAUAUGGGGGACCAUCCUCCAAGGCUAAAUACUCCUGACUGACCGAUAGUGAACCAGUACCGUGAGGGAAAGGCGAAAAGAACCCCUGUGAGGGGAGUGAAAUAGAUCCUGAAACCGCAUGCAUACAAGCAGUGGGAGCACCUUCGUGGUGUGACUGCGUACCUUUUGUAUAAUGGGUCAGCGACUUAUAUUCAGUAGCAAGGUUAACCGUAUAGGGGAGCCGUAGAGAAAUCGAGUCUUAAUAGGGCGUUUAGUUGCUGGGUAUAGACCCGAAACCAGGCGAUCUAUCCAUGAGCAGGUUGAAGGUUGGGUAACACUAACUGGAGGACCGAACCCACUGUCGUUGAAAAGCCAGGGGAUGACUUGUGGAUAGGGGUGAAAGGCUAAUCAAGCCUGGUGAUAGCUGGUUCUCCCCGAAAGCUAUUUAGGUAGCGCCUCGGACGAAUACCAUAGGGGGUAGAGCACUGUUUCGGCUAGGGGGUCAUCCCGACUUACCAAACCGAUGCAAACUCCGAAUACCUAUGAGUACUAUCCGGGAGACAGACUGCGGGUGCUAACGUCCGUAGUCAAGAGGAAAACAAUCCAGACCGCCAGCUAAGGCCCCAAAAUCAUAGUUAAGUGGGAAACGAUGUGGGAAGGCAUAGACAGCUAGGAGGUUGGCUUAGAAGCAGCCACCCUUUAAAGAAAGCGUAAUAGCUCACUAGUCGAGUCGGCCUGCGCGGAAGAUGUAACGGGGCUAAAACUAUGUGCCGAAGCUGCGGAUUUGACAUUAGUCAAGUGGUAGGGGAGCGUUCUGUAAGCCGAUGAAGGUGUGUUGAGAAGCAUGCUGGAGGUAUCAGAAGUGCGAAUGCUGACGUGAGUAACGACAAAACGGGUGAAAAACCCGUUCGCCGAAAGACCAAGGGUUCCAGUCCAACGUUAAUCGGGGCUGGGUGAGUCGACCCCUAAGGCGAGGCCGAAAGGCGUAGUCGAUGGGAAAAUGGUUAAUAUUCCAUUACUUCUGUGUAAUGCGAUGAGAGGACGGAGAAGGCUAAAUCAGCCUGGCGUUGGUUGUCCAGGUGAAAGGAUGUAGGCAUGUAUCUUAGGCAAAUCCGGGGUACUCUAUGCUGAGAUCUGAUAGCAAGCUGUACUUGUACAGCGAAGUGGUUGAUGCCAUGCUUCCAGGAAAAGUCUCUAAGCUUCAGUUACACAGGAAUCGUACCCGAAACCGACACAGGUGGUCAGGUCGAGUAGACCAAGGCGCUUGAGAGAACUCUGCUGAAGGAACUAGGCAAAAUGGUACCGUAACUUCGGGAGAAGGUACGCUGUUGUUGGUGAUGGAACUCGCUUCCUGAGCUGACGACAGCCGCAGAAACCAGGCCGCUGCAACUGUUUAUUAAAAACAUAGCACUCUGCAAACACGAAAGUGGACGUAUAGGGUGUGAUGCCUGCCCGGUGCUGGAAGGUUAAUUGAUGGGGUUAGCGUAAGCGAAGCUCUUGAUCGAAGCCCCAGUAAACGGCGGCCGUAACUAUAACGGUCCUAAGGUAGCGAAAUUCCUUGUCGGGUAAGUUCCGACCUGCACGAAUGGCAUAAUGAUGGCGGCGCUGUCUCCAGCAGAGGCUCAGUGAAAUCGAAAUCGCUGUGAAGAUGCAGUGUACCCGCGGCUAGACGGAAAGACCCCGUGAACCUUUACUGCAGCUUGACACUGAACUUUGACCUUACUUGUGUAGGAUAGGUGGGAGGCUUUGAAGCUGGAACGCUAGUUCCAGUGGAGCCGUCCUUGAAAUACCACCCUGGUAAUGUUGAGGUUCUAACUCUGUCCCGUGAUCCGGGACGAGGACCGUGUCUGGUGGGUAGUUUGACUGGGGCGGUCUCCUCCUAAAGAGUAACGGAGGAGUACGAAGGUGCGCUCAGCGUGGUCGGAAAUCACGCGUAGAGUAUAAAGGCAAAAGCGCGCUUAACUGCGAGACCCACAAGUCGAGCAGGUACGAAAGUAGGUCUUAGUGAUCCGGUGGUUCUGUAUGGAAGGGCCAUCGCUCAACGGAUAAAAGGUACUCUGGGGAUAACAGGCUGAUACCGCCCAAGAGUUCAUAUCGACGGCGGUGUUUGGCACCUCGAUGUCGGCUCAUCUCAUCCUGGGGCUGAAGCAGGUCCCAAGGGUAUGGCUGUUCGCCAUUUAAAGAGGUACGCGAGCUGGGUUUAGAACGUCGUGAGACAGUUCGGUCCCUAUCUACCGUGGGCGCUGGAAAUUUGAGAGGAUCUGCUCCUAGUACGAGAGGACCAGAGUGGACGAACCUCUGGUGUACCGGUUGUGACGCCAGUCGCAUCGCCGGGUAGCUAUGUUCGGAAGGGAUAACCGCUGAAAGCAUCUAAGCGGGAAGCCUACCUCAAGAUAAGAUUUCCCUAGGACUUUAUGUCCUCUAAAGAGCCGUUCGAGACUAGGACGUUGAUAGGUUGGAUGUGGAAGCAUAGUGAUAUGUGAAGCUGACCAAUACUAAUUGCUCGUGAGGCUUGACUAUACAACACCCAAGCAGUUG